UAACCUGCCCAAGAGAUCGGGAUAACACCUGGAAACAGAUGCUAAUACCGGAUAACAACAGAUGAUGCCUAUCAACUGUUUAAAAGAUGGUUCUGCUAUCACUCUUGGAUGGACCUGCGGUGCAUUAGCUAGUUGGUAGGGUAACGGCCUACCAAGGCGAUGAUGCAUAGCCUAGUUGAGAGACUGAUCGGCCACAUUGGGACUGAGACACGGCCCAAACUCCUACGGGAGGCAGCAGUC
rnacentral:rRNA from 1 species